GGGUGAGUAGCUCAGUUGGUUAGAGCAACGGUCUGUUAAACCGUGGGUCGUAGGUUCGAAGCCUACCUCACCCGCCA
rnacentral:tRNA from 1 species